UUAUCCUACGGGGGGCAGCAGUGGGGAAUAUUGCACAAUGGGGGGAACCCUGAUGCAGCGACGCCGCGUGGGUGAAGGAGUAUUUCGGUAUGUAAAGCCCUAUCAGCAGGGAAGAACAAUGACGGUACCUGACUAAGAAGCACCGGCUAAAUACGUGCCAGCAGCCGCGGUAAUACGUAGGGGGCAAGCGUUAUCCGGAUUUACUGGGUGUAAAGGGAGCGUAGACGGCAUAGCAAGUCUGAAGUGAAAGCCCGUGGCUCAACCGCGGAACUGCUUUGGAAACUGUUAAGCUGGAGUACUGGAGA
rnacentral:rRNA from 1 species